rnacentral:rRNA from 1 species
GUGGGGAAUAUUGGACAAUGGGCGCAAGCCUGAUCCAGCCAUGCCGCGUGAGUGAUGAAGGCCUUAGGGUUGUAAAGCUCUUUCACCGAUGAAGAUAAUGACGGUAGUCGGAGAAGAAGCCCCGGCUAACUUCGUGCCAGCAGCCGCGGUAAUACGAAGGGGGCUAGCGUUGUUCGGAUUUACUGGGCGUAAAGCGCACGUAGGCGGUUUGUUAAGUCAGGGGUGAAAUCCCGGAGCUCAACUCCGGAACUGCCUUUGAUACUGGCAAGCUAGAGUCCGGAAGAGGUAAGUGGAACUCCUAGUGUAGAGGUGGAAUUCGUAGAUAUUCGGAGGAACACCAGUGGCGAAGGCGGCUUACUGGUCCAUUACUGACGCUGAGGUGCGAAAGCGUGGGGAGCAAACAGGAUUAGAUACCCUUGUAGUCC